rnacentral:lncRNA from 1 species
UUCACGGCCAGUGGGCAAGAAUCUUCUCCAAGCUACCCAUAGCCAUGUUCGUCAUAUCUGAAAUGGAUAGUCAGAGUUGAUGAUGGAGUCAAGCCCAAGAAACAGAGCAGCCCAAGGAAAAUGUACAGGGCUGCUGUCUGGCAAACUCCACCCUUGCCUUCUCUGCACCCAGAACUUUGAACUGUCCCCUGGAUGCUAGGAUUCCACCCCUGCCAGAAUAGAACGCACGGCCAGUUCCUCGAUAACAAGGCAGGACCCUGUAAAAGUCAACAGCACUCUGUAGGGAAUCAACCCCAGUUUUAUUCUUUCUUGGCUGUGUGACUCUGGCAAAUGUGUCACCUUCCUGAGCCUCAGCUUCCCUACUUACAAAAUAAGGGUGAUCAUAAUUGUAGUACUGACGAGGACUGUAUGCCCAAUGCAGGCAAAACACUUAGAACAAAUGCCAGACCCAUAGGACAUGCCUGCCACAUACUAACUAUAAUAAUGAUGAAUUUUCUGUAUUGUCUCUUUAGGUCUUACAUCUUUAAAGCAGCAAGUCUGUCCCCUUCGUGCUCAUUGAGAAUAUCUGAUACCUUCAUGUUUGGACUCAUCCAGCCCCCAUCUCCUCAGUCUAUCUCAGAUCUGACAGUGGAGGCUGCUUUGUCCAGGACCAACCUUUUCUCUUGCCUCAUUUCUGCUAUGCCAGCUGAUGAAGAGCAUGCUAUGCCCUCAGCUUCUUGGACUUCACCCUGGCCCUGGAAGUCUGCCGGAAAUCACUGA